AUGGGAACGCGAAGAACCUUACCUACUCUUGACAUCCAGAGAACUUUCCAGAGAUGGAUUUGGUGCCUUCGGGAACGUCUGAGACAGGUGCUGCAUGGCUGUCGUCAGCUCGUGUUGUGAAAUGUUGGGUUAAGUCCCGCAACGAGCGCAACCCGUUGUCCUUAGUUACCAGCACGUUAUGGUGGGCACUCUAAGGAGACUGCCGGUGACAAACCGGAGGAAGGUGGGGAUGACGUCAAGUCAUCAUGGCCCUUACGAGUAGGGCUACACACGUGCUACAAUGGCGCAUACAAAGAGAAGCGACCUCGCGAGAGCAAGCGGACCUCAUAAAGUGCGUCGUAGUCCGGAUUGGAGUCUGCAACUCGACUCCAUGAAGUCGGAAUCGCUAGUAAUCGUAGAU
rnacentral:rRNA from 1 species